rnacentral:rRNA from 1 species
ACACGACUACAUUAGAUACCCCCGUAGUCCUGGCCGUAAACGAUGUGGACUUGGUGUUGGAAUGGCUCCGAGCUGCUCCAGUGCCGAAGGGAAGCUGUUAAGUCCACCGCCUGGGAAGUACGGUCGUAAGACUGAAACUUAAAGGAAUUGGCGGGGAGCACAACAACGGGCGGAGCUUGCGGUUUAAUUGGAUUCAACGCCGGAAAUCUUACCGGGACCGACAGCAACAUGAAGGCCAAGCUGAAGACUUUGCCGGAUUAGCUG